UGAGUAAUAUAUACGGAACGUUACCUUUCAGGUGGGGAAUAACGUAGACGAAAGUUACGCUAAUACCGCAUAUUCUGUGAGCAGGAAAGCAGGGGAUCGCAAGACCUUGCGCUGAUUGAGCGGCCGAUAUCAGAUUAGCUAGUUGGUGAGGUAAAGGCUCACCAAGGCGACGAUCUGUAGCGGGUCUGAGAGGAUGAUCCGCCACACUGGAACUGAGACACGGUCCAGACUCCUACGGGAGGCAGCAGUGGGGAAUUUUGGACAAUGGGCGCAAGCCUGAUCCAGCCAUGCCGCGUGAGUGAAGAAGGCCUUCGGGUUGUAAAGCUCUUUCGGCCGGGAAGAAAUCGCACGGGUUAAUACCCUGUGUGGAUGACGGUACCGGAAUAAGAAGCACCGGCUAACUACGUG
rnacentral:rRNA from 1 species